rnacentral:rRNA from 1 species
UAACACAUGCAAGUCGAACGAAAAUACCAAGCUUGCUUGGUUGAUUAGUGGCGAACGGGUGAGUAACACGUGAGUAACCUGCCCCUUACUUUCCUGGAUAACUGCUCGAAAGGGUAGCUAAUACGGGAUAUUCUGACCAUCCUGCAUGGGUUGGUUUGGAAAGGUUGUUUUUCUGGUAAGGGAUGGGCUCGCGGCCUAUCAGCUUGUUGGUGGGGUGAUGGCCUACCAAGGCUUUGACGGGUAGCCGGCCUGAGAGGGUGGACGGUCACACUGGGACUGAGAUACGGCCCAGACUCCUACGGGAGGCAGCAGUGGGGAAUAUUGCACAAUGGGCGCAAGCCUGAUGCAGCGACGCCGCGUGAGGGAUGAAGGCCUUCGGGUUGUAAACCUCUUUCGUCAGGGAACAAGGCACUGUCUUUUUGGUGGUGUUGAGGGUACCUGGAUAAGAAGCGCCGGCUAACUACGUGCCAGCAGCCGCGGUA